AGUGAACGCUGGCGGUAGGCCUAACACAUGCAAGUCGAACGGCAGCACAGUAAGAGCUUGCUCUUACGGGUGGCGAGUGGCGGACGGGCGAGGAAUACAUCGGAAUCUACUUUUUCGUGGGGGAUAACGUAGGGAAACUUACGCUAAUACCGCAUACGACCUACGGGUGAAAGCAGGGGAUCUUCGGACCUUGCGCGAUUCAAUGAGCCGAUGUCGGAUUAGCUAGUUGGCGGGGUAAAGGCCCACCAAGGCGACGAUCCGUAGCUGGUCUGAGAGGAUGAUCAGCCACACUGGAACUGAGACACGGUCCAGACUCCUACGGGAGGCAGCAGUGGGGAAUAUUGGACAAUGGGCGCAAGCCUGAUCCAGCCAUACCGCGUGAGUGAAGAAGGUCUUCGGGUUGUAAAGCCCUUUUGUUGGGAAAGAAAAGCAGCAGGUUAAUACCCCGCUGUUCUGACGGUACCCAAAGAAUAAGCACCGGCUAACUUCGUG
rnacentral:rRNA from 1 species